CUGCGGUUAAAAAGCUCGUAGUGGGAUCUCGGCAAGUAGAGGGCGGUAUGCUUCGUAGCAUUACUGCCCUAUUACUUGUAGUUUUGCCAGAGGUUCCUGGGUGCUCUUAAUCGAGUGUCUAGGGAUGCUGGCAGGUUUACUUUGAAAAAAUUAGAGUGCUCAAAGCAGGCUAUUACGCUUGAAUAUAUUAGCAUGGAAUAACACCAUAGGACUCCUGUCCUAUUUCGUUGGUCUCGGGACGGGAGUAAUGAUUAAGAGGAACAGUUGGGGGCAUUCGUAUUUCAUUGUCAGAGGUGAAAUUCUUGGAUUUAUGAAAGACGAACUUCUGCGAAAGCAUUUGCCAAGGAUGUUUUCAUUGAUCAAGAACGAAAGUUGGGGGCUCGAAGAUGAUUAGAUACCAUCCUAGUCUCAACCAUAAACGAUGCCGAA
rnacentral:rRNA from 1 species